rnacentral:lncRNA from 1 species
UUUUUUAUUUUUAUUUUUUUUGGCUUUUUUUUUGGGCUGCUCCCGCGGCAUAUGGAAGUUCCCAGGCUAGGGGUUGAAUCGGAGCUGUAGCCACCGGCCUACAUCAGAGCCACAGCAACGCAGGAUCCGAGCCGCGUCUGCAACCUACACCACAGCUCACGGCAACACCGGAUUGUUAACCCACUGAGCAAGGGCAGGGACCGAACCCGCAACCUCAUGGUUCCUAGUCGGAUUCGUUAACCACUGCGCCACGAUGGGAACUCCAUUAUUAAGUUUAAAUACAUUGAUUAAUUAAUUAAUUUUCUUCUUAGGGCUGCACCCAUGGCAUAUAGAAGUUUCCGGGCUAGGGGUCAAAUCCAAGGGGUAACUGCUGGCCUACACCACAGCCAUAGCAAUGCCGUGUCUGUGAGCUACACCACAGCUCAUGGCAACACUGGAUCGUUAACUCACUGAGAGAGGCCAGGGAUCGAACCUGUGUCCUCAUGGAUGCUAGUCAGAUUCGUUUCCACUGCACCAUGAUGGGAACUUCAAAUUAUUUUUUUUUAAUGAAUGAAUACAACAUACAAAAAAUUAUACGAUACAGAUAAUAUAAAGCCAUGGGAAAAUUAAUAGUUUAAAAUAUUUUGAAUAGGAAAUAUGAACCAACCAUGCAACUUAAGAAGCUAGAAAGAAAAUAGAAAAACUAUGGGAAUAGUAAGAAAUUGCAAUAGCUAGUUCUUCACAACUACCUGUGGCAAAGCUAAUCAAGAAACUGAUUAUCACCAUACUGUAUGGAGGUUCCUCAAAAAACUAAAAAUACAGUUGCCAUAUCCAACAAUCCCACUCUUGGCACAUAUCCAGACAAAACUGUAAUUUGAAAAAAUACAUGUACCCCUAUGUGCAUAAUAGCACUAUUUAUGAUAGCCAGGGCAUGGAAACAUUGUAAAUGUCCAAGAACAGAUGAAAGGAUAUGAAGAUAUGGUGCAAAGAUAUACAUAUAAUUGAAUAUAACUCUUCCAUCAAAAAGAAUGAAAUAAUGUCAUUUGCAGCAACAUGAAUGGAUCUAGAGGUUAUCAUACUAAGCAAGAUAAAAAAAACAAAUACUAUGUGAUAUCACUUAUAUGUGGUAUCUAAAGUACAACACUAAUCAAUAUAACCAUGAAACAAAAAUAUACUUACAGAUAUAGACAACAGCCCUGUGUUUGCCCAGGGGGAAAGGAAAGUAAGGAAGGGAAGGAUUGGGAGUUUGAGAUGAGCAAAGGCAAAUUAUUAUAUAUAAGAUGGAUAAACAAGGUCUUAGGGUGUAGCACAGGGAAAUAUAUUCAAUAUCCUUUGACAAACCAUAAUGGAAAAGAAUAUGAAACACACACACACACAAGCCACUUUGCUGUACAGCAGAAAUGAACACAACCCUGUAAAUCAACUACUUAAAUAAUUUUUUGAAAAGUUAGUUUUAAGACACAUGGUAAACAACAAAGACAAAGAAAAUGAUAUCUCAUAUUAAGAAUGAAAAAAUGCCCCCUCACACCAUGCGCAAAAAUAAACUCAAAAUGGCUUCAAGACUUACGCAUAGGACAAACACCAUAAAACUCCUAGAACGUAGGCAAAACAUUCUCUGACGUCGACUGUACAAAUAUUUUCUUAGGUCAGUCUCCCAAGGCAAUAGAAAUAAAAGCAAAAAUAAACCAAUGGGAUCUUAUUAAACUUAACAAGCUUUUGCACAGCAAAGGAAACCAUUAAAAAAAAAAAAAAAAAGACAACCAACAGAAUGGGAGAUAAUAUACACAAAUGAUGCAACUGAUAAAGGCUUAAUCUCCAAAAUAUAAAAACAACUCAUACAGCUCAAUAGCAAAAGAUGUACAGUAGAAAAAAAAAUUGUAUUGGGGAAAUAACAAAAAAAUUUAAAAAAGAACAAAUAAAUGAACAAUAAUUAUAAUGGGAAACAACAACAACAAACGACCCAGUUGAAAAGUGGAUAGAGACCUAAAUAGACAUUUCUCCAAAGAAGACAUAGAGAUGGCCAACAGGCACAUUAAAAAAUGCUCAAUGCUCAGACACAACUUAGAAUAGAUUUACAAGGAGAUCCUGCUGAAUAGCAUUGAGAACUAUGUCUAGAUACUCAUGUUGCAACAGAAGAAAGGGUGGGGGGAAAAAUGUAAUUGUAAUGUACACAUGUAAGGAUAACCUGACCCCCCUGCUGUACAGUGGGAAAAUAAAAAAAAAUAUUAAAA